rnacentral:rRNA from 1 species
GACGAACGCUGGCGGCGUGCCUAAUACAUGCAAGUCGAACGCUUCUUUCCUCCCGAGUGCUUGCACUCAAUUGGAAAGAGGAGUGGCGGACGGGUGAGUACACGUGGGUAACCUACCCAUCAGAGGGGGAUAACACUUGGAAACAGGUGCUAAUACCGCAUAACAGUUUAUGCCGCAUGGCAUAAGAGUGAAAGGCGCUUUCGGGUGUCGUUGAUGGAUGGACCCGCGGUGCAUUAGCUAGUUGGUGAGGUAACGGCUCACCAAGGCCACGAUGCAUAGCCGACCUGAGAGGAUGAUCGGCCACACUGGGACUGAGACACGGCCCAGACUCCUACGGGAGGCAGCAGUGGGGAAUCUUCGGCAAUGGGCGAAAGUCUGACCGAGCAACGCCGCGUGAGUGAAGAAGGUUUUCGGAUCGUAAAACUCUGUUGUUAGAGAAGAACAAGGACGUUAGUAACUGAACGUCCCCUGACGGUAUCUAACCAGAAAGCCACGGCUAACUACGUG